GGUUAAGGAAAAGAAAUGAAAGAAAUAAUUUCUAUCUAAAGAGCCGUCGAGCUUACACUUUCAUGUUUCAUCUCCUAAAUUAAAUCUGAUAACCAGAAGAAUUAUCCAAGUAGAGUGUGAAAUGAGAGUUCUUAUUCACAUGGUUGUGCUUCUCAAACAAUGGCAUUCAAGGCGUUUAUAAAGGAAAGAAAAGAGUCUCUUUCUAAUUUUUAGUAGAGAGCACCAGGUUUUCUAUCCCCUCUUGUUAACUUCAUCAUCUACAAACGGGCAUUUGUAUUUCGUGGAACUUCAUUUUGUGUAAACGGUCUAAUGUCAUUUCCAUAUAUAGUAGAAUGAUCUUGGCAAGACUCA